CAGUAGCUGAGUGGAUAACGCGAUGGAGUUUGAAGCAAGUGGUACUGGGUUCGAGUCCCAGAGUGAA
rnacentral:tRNA from 1 species